GGAUGAAGAACGUAGUGAAAUGCGAUAAGUAAUGUGAAUUGCAGAAUUCAGUGAAUCAUCGAAUCUUUGAACGCACAUUGCGCCCGCCGGUAUUCCGGCGGGCAUGCCUGUUCGAGCGUCAUUUCAACCAUCAAGCCCUGGGCUUGUGUUGGGGACCUGCGGCUGCCGCAGGCCCUGAAAUGCAGUGGCGGGCUCGCAAGACACACCGAGCGUAGUAGCUUACAACCUCGCUUUGGGAGUGCUGCGGGUGCUGGCCGUAAAGCGACCUUUGCGUCUUUAGCACUAGGUUGACCUCGGAUCAGGUAGGAGGACCCGCUGAACUUAAGCAUAUCAAUAAGCGGAGGA
rnacentral:misc_RNA from 1 species